GACGAACGCUGGCGGCGUGCUUUAACACAUGCAAGUCGAACGAAGAGCGAUGGAAGCUUGCUUCUAUCAAUCUUAGUGCGAACGGGUGAGUAACGCGUAAUCAACCUGCCCUUCAGAGGGGGACAACAGUUGGAAACGACUGCUAAUACCGCAUACGAUCUAAACUCGGCAUCGAGGAUAGAUGAAAGGUGGCCUCUACAUGUAAGCUAUCACUGAAGGAGGGGAUUGCGUCUGAUUAGCUAGUUGGAGGGGUAACGGCCCACCAAGGCGAUGAUCAGUAGCCGGUCUGAGAGGAUGAACGGCCACAUUGGGACUGAGACACGGCCCAGACUCCUACGGGAGGCAGCAGUGGGGAAUCUUCCGCAAUGGACGAAAGUCUGACGGAGCAACGCCGCGUGAGUGAUGACGGCCUUCGGGUUGUAAAGCUCUGUU
rnacentral:rRNA from 1 species